GGGAGGGGCCUAGGCCUUUAUGGCAGCUCCGGCCUGUCCUCCCUCUGGGAAGUGCGUAGUCUGUAGCACACUGCAGCCUGGGCGGUGUGUUCCGUGGUCGGGAUACCCGUCUUCCCUGUUCCCCACUUUGCUUUAUUCUGUAAGUUAAGGGUAAGGGAAGCCGGGUAGAAUGGCGCUCACUGCAGGGCGCCGGGGUACUGGGGCUUCUGGGUGGACGGUGACCUCGAACUGGAUACAGGCAGCCCGCAGGGACCCCAAGUGAACAUGUUGCUGAGAGAGCCAAGCCCUGUCGUAGUGAGAAAUAAAACUCAGGCAUGUGAAAUGAUUCUAAUUUAUUAGAGGUGCAUAUUCAAACACAGAAGUUCUUAAUAUCUUUCAUAAAUAUCUUUCAUAAACAUUUCAAUAUUUGUUAUGCAUUUUCCCAUGCUCUUUGGUCAGUAUUCCUAAGAUUUCUUAGUCCUUUGAGGGAAGUUGGCUGUGUAGUCAAUCCUUCAUUUUUACCUGUAAAGUAACUAACAAAGUACUCGUAUCCUGUGGUCACAGUGACUGUUAAAAAAAUAUCAUGGAGGUACACAGAUCUGUAAUCCUAAAUGAUCCUAAAAUAAUGUAAUAAAUUUAUCUUAAGCUUUUCCAAAUACAUUCUGUCCUCAAAUUGUUUUAUUCUCCUGAGUGUCAAAUCAACGUUUGCUUCUGCAAUGCUGCAGUUGAGACCCACUGAAGUAAAUGAGGAAGUGGGACAUUCCACUUCACUGCUAAGACAGGAGGCUGUGCAGUUGGGAAUAUGAGGUCACAGGGCAAAAGUAUGACUCAGUAUUAUAUAGCAGCAAAUUCUGAAGACUGUGCUCUUUUAAAAUAUCUGAAUAUCUUGAUUCUUGUUUUGGACUGUAAUUCUAUUCCAUUUUUAACUCUUUUUCCCCCCAUAAGUCUCUAAAAACACUGUUCUUUCCUCAGAACCUCUCAAGAGCUGGGAACUGGCGUGGGCAAAGUGCUUUGCCCGCCAAAGGAACAGACGCUAAAGAGGAGAUGUCCUCCUGUCUCAGUGCUUGUAAGACACACAGCUACACAUGAGACUCAUCCAGGGCCACGUCCACCUCCCCCAGCUCGGUGGGAGUGAUCGUGAACUGGCACAACAGGGGGUUCUCCAUGCCGUUCUCCUCACUGAUGUGAAGCACAGUGUCUCCGUGCUGUAGGAGGCUGGACGUCUCGAGGCCGGUGAAGUCAUCAGGGUCUGAGAGCUGCAUGGAGAGGGGACUGUGCGCUGCAGCACCUUGUGCUUCUGCCUCCUCCUUUUUGUCUCCUUCGGCGGGGAGGGGCUCUCCCUGUGAUCAGGAGGGUCACAGUGUCAUGCACACAUGGGGAAGCUAGUACACUAUCAACAAACUGCGUAGCUUUAACUGGAUGUGGAAUCAGGCUAGUCUGAGUUCUAGCCUUUAUUAGAGGUAAAAUCUUACCAGGCAUUGCCAGCUUUCUAGGCUUCAGUGCUCCUUUCUGAGUGAGUCACAUACUAUGCUGAGGACUCCUGUCGUGCCAGGCAAGGGCUCCACCACUAAGCCACAUCUCCCCCGUAUUUUUUUUUUUUUUUUUAACAUUUUAUUUUGAGAUGGUCUCACUGAGUUGCCCAGGUCAGCCUUGAACUUGUGAUCCUCCUGUUUCUGCUUCUCAGAUAACUUGGAUUAUAGCUGUGUGCUACCAUAGCCAGCUUAAUCGUCAGGGUUUUUUUUUUUUUUUUUUUUUUUAACAUUUAGCAUAGUUUUGGUCCUGCUUACCUUACAGAAUAUAAAGAUCAAAUGGAAUAAUUAUAAAUAUUAAAAUGCUUUUAGAAAUUAAAGGCUGGGGCUGGGGGUUUAGCUCAGCGGCAUAAGCGCCUGCCUUGAAAGCAGGCAGUUGUGAGUUCGAUCCCCUGUACCGAUAAAAAGGAAAAAGACAAAAAAAAAAAAAAAAAAAAAGAAAUUAAAGGCUAUACAAAUGUACAUAA